rnacentral:rRNA from 1 species
UACGAAGGGGGCUAGCGUUGUUCGGAAUCACUGGGCGUAAAGGGCGCGUAGGCGGCUUUAUAAGUCGGGGGUGAAAGCCUGUGGCUCAACCACAGAAUUGCCUUCGAUACUGUAGAGCUUGAGACCGGAAGAGGUAAGUGGAACUGCGAGUGUAGAGGUGAAAUUCGUAGAUAUUCGGAAGAACACCAGUGGCGAAGGCGACUUACUGGACACAUAUUGACGCUGAGGCGCGAAAGCGUGGGGAGCAAACAGG